GCAGGAAAUAAGUAUCUGUUGUCAUAAUGCCGUAGCGCAACCUUGCCCACACUGACUGACACAGGAGGGGCGGAGGGAGUGUGGCAUCUGUGUCCCAUCUAAGUCAGACGCCUGCAGGUCAGCCCGAGUCCACGCCAGGUGGUAGCUGCCUCCAGAAAACCUUAUGAAGUCGCAGCUCUGAAGAAGCAAUCAGGUUCCUGGAGCUUCAGAGGACUCCUGGCAGACAGAGAUACCCAAGCAGAGGAGAGGGGAGACCCCAG
rnacentral:lncRNA from 1 species